AGCUUUGUGCAGCAGCAGUAUCGUAGCCAAUGAGGUUUCUCCGAGGUGCGAUUAUUGCUAAUUGAAAACAUUUCAUGGGGUUUGAUAUUUUCGCUAUUUUCAUUCAAAAAACUUUUUCUUAUUAAUUUCUUCACUGACUCAUUGGUC